rnacentral:rRNA from 1 species
AACGAACGCUGGCGGCAGGCUUAACACAUGCAAGUCGAGCGCCCCGCAAGGGGAGCGGCAGACGGGUGAGUAACGCGUGGGAAUCUACCCAUCUCUACGGAAUAACGCAUGGAAACGUGUGCUAAUACCGUAUACGUCCUUCGGGAGAAAGAUUUAUCGGAGAUGGAUGAGCCCGCGGUGGAUUAGCUAGUUGGUGGGGUAAAGGCCUACCAAGGCGACGAUCCAUAGCUGGUCUGAGAGGAUGACCAGCCACACCGGGACUGAGACACGGCCCAGACUCCUACGGGAGGCAGCAGUGGGGAAUAUUGGACAAUGGGCGCAAGCCUGAUCCAGCCAUGCCGCGUGAGUGAUGAAGGCCCUAGGGUUGUAAAGCUCUUUCACCGGUGAAGAUAAUGACGGUAACCGGAGAAGAAGCCCCGGCUAACUUCGUGCCAGCAGCCGGGUAAGAC